rnacentral:rRNA from 1 species
GCCGGAAUUGCUAGUAAUGGCAGGUCAGCAUACUGCCGUGAAUACGUUCCCGGGCCUUGUACACACCGCCCGUCACACCAUGAGAGUUGGGAAUACCCGAAGCCUGUGAGCUAACGAAAGAGGCAGCAGUCGAAGGUAGAAUCAAUGAUUGGGGUGAAGUCGUAACAAGGUAAC